UUUAGUGUUAAGUACUGUCUUGUCAAAGGCUGAUCUCACCAGAUCUCAGAAGCCAAGUAAGACCAGGCCUGGUUAGUACUGAGAGGGGAGACUGCUGGGAAUAUCAAGUGCCACAGUGG
rnacentral:rRNA from 1 species